GACGAACGCUGGCGGCGUGCUUAACACAUGCAAGUCGAACGGAAAGGCCCUGCUUUUGUGGGGUUCUCGAGGGGGGAACGGGUGAGUAAGACGUGAGUAACCUGCCCUUGACUUUGGGAUAACUUCAGGAAACUGGGGCUAAUACCGGAUAGGAGCUCCUGCUGCAUGGUGGGGGUUGGAAAGUUUCGGCGGUCGGGGCUGGACUCGCGGCUUAUCAGCUAGUUGGUGGGGGAGUGGCUGACCAAGGCUGUGACGGGUAGCCGGCCUGGGAGGGUGACCGGCCACAUGGGGCCUGCGAUACGGCCCAGACUCCUACGGGAGGCAGCAGUGGGGAGUCUUGCACAGUGGGCGGAAGCCUGUUGCGGCAACGCCGCGUGCGGAAUGACGGCCUUCUGGUUGUGAACCGCUUUCGCCUGUGACGAAGCGUGAGUGACGGUAAUGGGUAAAGAAGCACCGGCUAACUACGUG
rnacentral:rRNA from 1 species